rnacentral:rRNA from 1 species
GACGAACGCUGGCGGCGUGCCUAACACAUGCAAGUCGAACGGCAGCACAGGAGAGCUUGCUCUCUGGGUGGCGAGUGGCGGACGGGUGAGGAAUACAUCGGAAUCUACCUUUUCGUGGGGGAUAACGUAGGGAAACUUACGCUAAUACCGCAUACGACCUACGGGUGAAAGUGGGGGACCGCAAGGCCUCACGCGAUUAGAUGAGCCGAUGUCCGAUUAGCUAGUUGGCGGGGUAAUGGCCCACCAAGGCGACGAUCGGUAGCUGGUCUGAGAGGAUGAUCAGCCACACUGGAACUGAGACACGGUCCAGACUCCUACGGGAGGCAGCAGUGGGGAAUAUUGGACAAUGGGCGCAAGCCUGAUCCAGCCAUACCGCGUGGGUGAAGAAGGCCUUCGGGUUGUAAAGCCCUUUUGUUGGGAAAGAAAUCCUGUCGAUUAAUACUCGGUGGGGAUGACGGUACCCAAAGAAUAAGCACCGGCUAACUUCGUGCCAGCCGCCGCUGUAAUAC